UUUUUAGCCAAAAUAGACCAAAGAGACAAAAUAAAUAUCUAUUAGUCAAACAGAAUGUCACACAGAAUGUCAAAGCAGAUUGUUAAGUGUUAUAGAUCCCAGAACACACACAACUAUAUAAGUUGAGAUAAAAAUCCAGAAAAACCAAAAAGAACCCAGAAAAAAAAUACAUCAAGGUAACAGAACAUGACUACCAAAAGAAACACCAG
rnacentral:lncRNA from 1 species